UACGAAGGGGGCGAGCGUUGUUCGGAAUUACUGGGCGUAAAGGGCGCGCAGGCGGCUCUGAAAGUCAGAUGUGAAAGCCCCGGGCUUAACCUGGGAACUGCAUUUGAUACUCUGGAGCUUGAGUACGGGAGAGGAGAGUGGAAUUCCCAGUGUAGAGGUGAAAUUCGUAGAUAUUGGGAGGAACACCAGUGGCGAAGGCGGCUUACUGGACCGGUUCUGACGCUGAGGCGCGAAAAGCGUGGGGAGCAAAACGG
rnacentral:rRNA from 1 species